GUGGGGAAUAUUGCGCAAUGGGCGAAAGCCUGACGCAGCCAUGCCGCGUGUGUGAAGAAGGCCUUCGGGUUGUAAAGCACUUUCAAUUGGGAAGAAAGGUUGCGUGUUAAUAGCACGUAGCUGUGACGUUACCUUUAGAAGAAGCACCGGCUAACUCCGUGCCAGCAGCCGCGGUAAUACGGAGGGUGCGAGCGUUAAUCGGAAUUACUGGGCGUAAAGCGCGCGUAGGCGGUUUGUUAAGUCGGAUGUGAAAUCCCCGGGCUCAACCUGGGAAUGGCAUUCGAUACUGGCCGACUAGAGUACGAGAGAGGGAGGUAGAAUUCCACGUGUAGCGGUGAAAUGCGUAGAUAUGUGGAGGAAUACCGGUGGCGAAGGCGGCCUCCUGGCUCGAUACUGACGCUGAGGUGCGAAAGCGUGGGUAGCAAACAGGAUUAGAAACCCCAGUAGUCC
rnacentral:rRNA from 1 species